rnacentral:rRNA from 1 species
CGGUGGAGCAUGUGGUUUAAUUCGAAGCAACGCGAAGAACCUUACCAGGUCUUGACAUCCCGAUGCUUAUUUCUAGAGAUAGAAAGUUACUUCGGUACAUCGGUUGACAGGUGGUGCAUGGUUGUCGUCAGCUCGUGUCGUGAGAUGUUGGGUUAAGUCCCGCAACGAGCGCAACCCCUAUUGUUAGUUGCCAUCAUUCAGUUGGGCACUCUAGCGAGACUGCCGGUAAUAAACCGGAGGAAGGUGGGGAUGACGUCAAAUCAUCAUGCCCCUUAUGACCUGGGCUACACACGUGCUACAAUGGUUGGUACAACGAGUUGCGAGUCGGUGACGGCGAGCUAAUCUCUUAAAGCCAAUCUCAGUUCGGAUUGUAGGCUGCAACUCGCCUACAUGAAGUCGGAAUCGCUAGUAAUCGCGGAUCAGCACGCCGCGGUGAAUACGUUCCCGGGCCUU